UCCCUGGUCCCCACUCCUGCCGCUGUCAGCAGCGCGCCCUCGGUGACUCUACCACCUUCGGUAGACCUUGUUCGAAUUGGCCGCUCGAGCCCUCGGUUCUACUAAGAACAAACCCAGCUCGGCAUUAAGGCCUCUGCCCGGGGUGACUCCUGCCUCCCCCCUUUCCCCCGUUGCCGCCUGCUCUUCAGCUCAACAGAGCUCAUGUCCUCUCCCUGGAAACAAGACCCUUUCUCCCCAGAGACUGCCUCCGGCUUUGGAAGAAGCUCUCAGAAUAUCCAGCCAGAAAGUCAGCUAUUCCUUUAUUUCUGGGUUUUGCUUUUCUUCAUGAAGAAGGCAAUCAAAAAGAAAACUAUAAAGUCUGGUUUUAAACUCCUGGGCUCAAGCAAUCCUCCCACCUCAGACUCCCAAGUGCGGGACUACAGUUUUUCAACUACAAUUUGGAAAGUCCACCUUACCUUGGCUGCAUAGAUGAAGAUGUGGAGUCUAAUGCUGACUGAGCUUCUGGGACACUGCCAUCUGUGCACUGAACUGGUAAAGAUUCAGACAGACUACUGACAGAAGUUGCUGUAACAGACCACAAUUCAUUUUAGUGGUUCUAUACUAUGUACAGCCCAA